AUGGCGGGACGAUCUGCCGCGCCGCUCCGGCGGUGAGGAAAGUCCGGACAGGGCAGGGCGCCCGACUGUGGAAAGCACAGAAGGGAGUAAUCUUUUGAUAUCGUAACAGAAAACAACCGCCGGGCCUUUUCGGCAGUGAUGCCGUUUUCCGGCAAGGGUGAAAACGCGGGGUAAGAGCCCACGACCAUGUGCGGCGACGUACACGGGGUACGGUAUCCGGGCCUGCAAGACCAAAUAUACUGGCAGAUGAGGGCGGCCCGUCCGAUGCCAGGGGGUAGGUUGCGUAGAUAAAUGGCAGAUUUAAAAACAGAAACCGGCUUACGGCCCCGCCACUGAA
rnacentral:RNase_P_RNA from 1 species